CCUACGAGGGGCAGCAGUGGGGAAUAUUGGACAAUGGGGGCAACCCUGAUCCAGCCAUGCCGCGUGUGUGAAGAAGGCCCUCGGGUUGUAAAGCACUUUCAGUGAGGAAGAACGCCUGGUGGUUAAUACCCAUCAGGAAAGACAUCACUCACAGAAGAAGCACCGGCUAACUCCGUGCCAGCAGCCGCGGUAAUACGGAGGGUGCGAGCGUUAAUCGGAAUUACUGGGCGUAAAGCGCGCGUAGGUGGCUUGAUAAGCCGGUUGUGAAAGCCCCGGGCUCAACCUGGGAACGGCAUCCGGAACUGUCAAGCUAGAGUGCAGGAGAGGAAGGUAGAAUUCCCGGUGUAGCGGUGAAAUGCGUAGAGAUCGGGAGGAAUACCAGUGGCGAAGGCGGCCUUCUGGACUGACACUGACACUGAGGUGCGAAAGCGUGGGUAGCAAACAGGAUUAGAUACCCCAGUAGUC
rnacentral:rRNA from 1 species